CUUUGAUCAUGGCUCAGGAUGAACGCUGGCGGCGUGCCUAAUACAUGCAAGUCGAACGAAACUUCUUUAUCACCGAGUGCUUGCACUCACCGAUGAAGAGUUGAGUGGCGAACGGGUGAGUAACACGUGGGCAACCUGCCCGAAAGAGGGGGAUAACACUUGGAAACAGGUGCUAAUACCGCAUAACCAUGAACACCGCAUGGUGUUUAUGUGAAAGGUGGUUUCGGCUACCGCUUUCGGAUGGGCCCGCGGCGCAUUAGCUAGUUGGUGGGGUAAAGGCUUACCAAGGCAAUGAUGCGUAGCCGAACUGAGAGGUUGAUCGGCCACAUUGGGACUGAGACACGGCCCAAACUCCUACGGGAGGCAGCAGUAGGGAAUCUUCCACAAUGGGCGAAAGCCUGAUGGAGCAACGCCGCGUGGGUGAAGAAGGUCUUCGGAUCGUAAAACCCUGUUGUCAGAGAAGAAAGUGCAUGAGAGUAACUGUUCAUGUUUCGACGGUAUCUGACCAGAAAGCCACGGCUAACUACGUGCCAGCAGCCGCGGUAAUACGUAGGUGGCAAGCGUUAUCCGGAUUUAUUGGGCGUAAAGGGAACGCAGGCGGUCUUUUAAGUCUGAUGUGAAAGCCUUCGGCUUAACCGGAGUAGUGCAUUGGGAACUGGGAGACUUGAGUGCAGAAGAGGAGAGUGGAACUCCAUGUGCAGCGGUGAAAUGCGUAGAUAUAUGGAAGAACACCAGUGGCGAAAGCGGCUCUCUGGUCUGUAACUGACGCUGAGGUUCGAAAGCGUGGGUAGCAAACAGGAUUAGAUACCCUGGUAGUCCACGCCGUAAACGAUGAAUGCUAAGUGUUGGAGGGUUUCCGCCCUUCAGUGCUGCAGUUAACACAAUAAGCAUUCCGCCUGGGGAGUACGACCGCAAGGUUGCAACUCAAAGGAAUUGACGGA
rnacentral:rRNA from 1 species